UAUAUUAUUUCUUCAAACUUGUUCGUUACACUGCUUCAGUCGACGAUCACGUGUAAAAACGCUUGAGGAGAUCUCCGUUCCAUGCGCGCGGCUCAUCUAUCUCCCUCUGAAUAUUGUAGAGUCUGUAUGCUCCGUUGUUCAGCACCUUGGAAAUGAUGAAAGGCCCUUCCCAGGCCGAAGCCAACUUGUGUGGUCUUUGCUGAUCCACUCGAAGCACCAAA
rnacentral:lncRNA from 1 species